UACGGGGGGAGCAAGCGUUGUUCGGAUUUACUGGGCGUAAAGGGCGCGUAGGCGGCUCGGCACGUCCGUUGUGAAAUCGCCCGGCUCAACUGGGCGGGGUCAGCGGAUACGGCCGAGCUUGAGCAAGCUAGGGGGCAAUGGAAUUCCCGGUGUAGUGGUGGAAUGCGUAGAUAUCUGGAGGAACACCGGUGGCGAAGGCGGCAUCCUGGACCGGCAUUGACGCUGAGGCGCGAAAGCCAGGGGAGCAAACGGG
rnacentral:rRNA from 1 species